AGUCCUGUGGUGUACAACACGUUAGAUUGCAAACCUGAAGAAGUAGGCUAACAGCCUACCGGGGCUU
rnacentral:tRNA from 6 species